AGAGUAACCCAACGUUCCAAUUACAUAAAGGAUGCAAUUCAGAUUAAAAAAAAAAGAGAAAAUCAUACCCGGGUGUUCUCAAAAUAUCAAAUCCAAAGAUACUGGGAUUACAGUAGCCCAAAAAUAGACAAUCAUAUUUAAAAAAAAAAGAAAGAAAGAAAAGAAAAGAUGCCAUAGAACAAAUUAACAUCUAGAGCAAGUAACAACCAUAUAUUUUGAAAAAAGAAAAAGAAACAAAAUUGUGAAAUUUCUUAUGGAGCAGUUAGUGGUGCAGGCAAUGCAUCUCUAGAAGAGGGAAAUAAUCCGCCAAAAAGAAGAAAGACGAAGAUGGAAAAGAUUAAAUACAACUUAAAGACAGCAGUGGAACCAGCACGGUCCGAUCUUGAAUCAACGCUCGGCAUCGAGCGAUUCGCCUGUCGGCUUGCAGCUUCGCACGAGGCGUGCUCUUCCGGGCGACGGGCGGAUCCGCCGGGGGGGCGGUGACCGAGGGGUGAAGCAUAAGAGGAGGCUCUUCAGGAUGCGCUUCAGGACCUGGCCCCGCUUGGGAAUGUAGCGUGGGUGGCUCCCCGGCCUGGGGUUGCGCCCGUCGGUCGGAGCUCCGGUCAUAGUGGUGGGGCGGCGAGGGUUCGGACUCCGAGGGGGGGAUAGCUUAAUGGCUAAGAGCCAGGUGCCGCUGCUGGCUUCAAUGUCACUGCUCUUAUAUAGAUGGAUAAGAGAGAGAGAGAGAAAGAAAGGGGGAAGAGGGAGGGGUUGUUUUGAUUUUGGAACUUUGGACCGGGGAGGAUGCAAUAAGCCCA
rnacentral:lncRNA from 1 species